rnacentral:rRNA from 1 species
GAUGAACGCUGGCGGCGUGCCUAACACAUGCAAGUCGAGCGAAGCACUUUGCUUGGAUUCUUCGGAUGAAGAGGAUUGUGACUGAGCGGGCGUAGGGUGAAGGUACGCGUAGGUAACCGUGCCUCAUACAGGGGGAUAACAGUUGGAAACGGCUGCUAAUACCGCAUAAGCGCACAGUACCGCAUGGUACGGUGUAGAAAAACUCCGGUGGUAUGAGAUCGGACCCGCGUCUGAUUAGGUAGUUGGUGGGUAACGGCCUACCAAGCCCGACGAUCAGUAGCCGACCUGAGAGGGUGACCGGCCACUAGUUGGGACUGAGACACCGGCCCAA